rnacentral:lncRNA from 1 species
CUUAUAUGAAAUUUUUCUUUUAACAGAUGGUGUCAUAAAUGGGAUCCAGGGUAGAGCUUUAACGACCCCCCAGCAGUGAUGAGUAAACAAGCAAGGUACCAGCAAUGACACACUUGUGUCCAUUGAUCUCUAAGAGCAGCUGGGGAUUGUGGGUAAAGAAAGCUUUUUAUGAUUUACUGAAGAUAAUCAAUGCCUUCACAAUCUGGAACCCAAAGAUUGGAUCUUCUAAGAACAUCAGAGAAAGAAUCUAGAACCUAAAGAUUGGAUCUUCUGAGAACACCAGAGAAAGACUGACCUUGCUCUCCACACUGCAAUAAAACUUUGUGAUCUUGAACCUUAGGUUCAUAAUCUCACAAAUGAGAAGGCUCCCUCCACACUCUUGGAACUGUACACCCACUGAAACCCUUAAGAUCAAAAGAAACUGCCUCUGUGCAGUUGAAGACUAAAUCAAUUUUUCAGCCAUAAAUGAGCAUGCUAACAAAGAUCUUGGAAUUUGUAUUUAUGGUAAAAUGCUUUACAUGCAUUCUCAUUGAGGCAUAUGAGAUUCUUAAAUUUAAUUUUUGUUCUUGUUCCUGCCUCAAAUCCACCAAUGACUUUUCAUUGACGUUAGAAUGAACAUUAAACUCUGUAACAAAACCAUGUGGUCCCUGUUGAUGUAUUCAGCCUUAUCUGAAACCCUACUCUUUCUCUACAACAGUGAUCUUCUUUCAGUGUUUUAUGUAUACUAUUAAUUUCCUUCCAAUUUCAAAUUCUUUGCCUAUGCUAAGAAUUUCUUUCCUUUUCCUCUUCAUUUACCUGGUCUGCAAAUCUCACCCUGAAAGUCACUUCCUCUAGAAAGAAUUCUCUGUCCUCCCCCACAGUCCUCUCUCCACCUAGAUAAAUUGCCAUGUCAUCCACACUCGAUUCUUAUUCAUUACCUUGUCUUUCAUAGCAUUUGUUUCUAUUAAAAUUAAAUCCUUAUUUAUAUAAUUAUGUGUUAAUGUCUAUUCUCUUGAAAGGUUAUAAGUCUUUUUCACUGCUGUAUUUUAGUCCCAGGUACAGACAUGGAACAUAUGAUUUGCUCAAUUUGUAUGUACUGAAUGAAUAAAGAAGGAAAUUUUUACAAAUGAUAAAGGUAAGUACUGGAGAAAUUAGGUAAAGCACCAAAGCUCAAACAGAUCACCUGUGGCAAAGCCAGCUUCUGCAUCUGAGUUUAUCUGAUGCUAAGGUUUCUACUAAACAUUUUAUUUCUUGCUUGUGAGAAUAAUUGAUUUCUUGGACAAGUUCAAUGUUGCUAUAAUUGAGACAAGUAUAAAAUAGAGAACCUCACAGUCCGACAAAAGUGAAGCUAUACCUGCAUGAUUGCACCGUUGAGAAUUCACUAUGACCUAGACAAAGGGUAGGUAUAACCACUGCUACAUGUAACUUAUCUCUGUGCAGAACUGUUAUGAAAUCAUUUCAAAUCAAAAGUUGGGUACAUAUCUAUAUAGAGAAAACAGAUAUCUUAUUAAUUGAGUGAAAGGUGCACUCUUGACAAAAUUAAGGGAGAACAAAUAAUAAGUUAAAAUAUUAAUUUCCUAAUUUUUCAAAGAGAAAUAAACAAGGUUAAACAUAUUGAGGGAGAAAAGCAGUUUUCUAUAAAUACAUAUUUAUGGAUAAAUGUUUUAUGUAAUUUGGUAAGAAAUCAUGCCUAGAAAUAUACAAUUUCAGGAUAAUGUUUGUUUUUUUAAUAUAUAUUUUUUAUUAUACUUUAAGUUCUAGGGUACAUGUGCACAAUGUGCAGGUUUGUUACAUAUGUAUACAUGUGCCAUGUUGGUGUGCUGCACACAUUAACUCAUCAUUUACAUUACGUAUAUCUCCUAAUGCUACCCCUCCCCCCUCCCCCACCCCACAACCAGCCCUGGUGUGUGGUGUGUGAUGUUCCCCUUCCUGAGUCCAGUGUUCUCAUUGUUCAAUUCCCACCUAUGAGUGAGAACAUACCUUUUGUAUUUUGCAUAUAUCAUAAAUAAAAAUAAUUAAAAGGCAUGAGACUAGUGAACUCAAUAUGAUAAUAGGACAGACAAACUUAUUAGGAGUGCCAAAUUGCAGCUUAAAAUGUUUCUGUUAAAAAAGUAGUUGAAUGUUUGCCAUUUCAUUUCAUUAG